AACGAACGCUGGCGGCAGGCUUAACACAUGCAAGUCGAACGCAUGCCUUCGGGCAUGGGUGGCAGCCGGGUGAGUAACGCGUGGGAACAUACCCCUUGGUCCGGGACAGCUCCGGGGAACUGGAGAUAGUAACGUAUGUGUACUGAGGGACAAAGCUUCUUCGCCAAGGGAUGGGCUCGCGACGGUUUAGCUAGUGGGUAGGGUAACGGCCUACUCAGGAGGGGAGGCGGGGCUGGUCUAAGAGGAGGCUAAGCCAGGAUGGGACUGAGACACGGCCCAAACUGCUACGGAAGGCAGCAGUGUGGAAUAUUGGACAAUGAGCGCAAACCUGAUCCAGCCACGCCGCGUGAGUGGUGAAGGCCGUAGGGUUGUAAAGCUCUUUCACCGGUGACGAUAAUGACGGUAACCGGAGAAGAAGCCCCGGCUAACUUCGUG
rnacentral:rRNA from 1 species